UUGGAGGGCAGUCUGGUGCCAGCAGCCGCGGUAAUUCCAGCUCCAAUAGCGUAUAUUAAAGUUGUUGCAGUUAAGAAGCUCGUAGUUGAAUUUCUGCCUUAUCAUUAAUUUCGCUUCCGAACGUAAUUUUAUUGAUUUGGCAUCUUCUGGAUUUAUAUUUUUAUUAAUAUUUUUCCAGUAUUUACUUUGAGAAAACUAGAGUGUUUCAAACAGGCUAUUGCCUUGAAUACUACAGCAUGGAAUAAUGAAGUAGGACUUUGGUUCUAUUUUGUUGGUUAUCGAACCAUAGUAAUGGUUAAUAGGAGCAGUUGGGGGCAUUCGUAUUUAACUGUCAGAGGUGAAAUUCUUAGAUUUGUUAAAGACGAACUACUGCGAAAGCAUUUGCCAAGGAUGUUUUCAUUAAUCAAGAACGAAAGUUAGGGGAUCGAAGACGAUCAGAUACCGU
rnacentral:rRNA from 1 species